ensembl:misc_RNA Metazoa_SRP Metazoan signal recognition particle RNA
GCUGGGCACGGUGGCUCAUGCCUGUAAUCCUAGCAAUUUGGGAGGCCGAGGCUGGUGGAUCACCUGAGGCCAGGAGUUCAAGACCAGCCUGGCCAACAUGGUGAAACCCUGCCUCUA